GACGAACGCUGGCGGCGUGCUUAACACAUGCAAGUCGAACGAAGAGCGAUGGAAGCUUGCUUCUAUCAAUCUUAGUGGCGAACGGGUGAGUAACGCGUAAUCAACCUGCCCUUCAGAGGGGGACAACAGUUGGAAACGACUGCUAAUACCGCAUACGAUCUAAUCUCGGCAUCGAGGAUAGAUGAAAGGUGGCCUCUACAUGUAAGCUAUCACUGAAGGAGGGGAUUGCGUCUGAUUAGCUAGUUGGAGGGGUAACGGCCCACCAAGGCGAUGAUCAGUAGCCGGUCUGAGAGGAUGAACGGCCACAUUGGGACUGAGACACGGCCCAGACUCCUACGGGAGGCAGCAGUGGGGAAUCUUCCGCAAUGGACGAAAGUCUGACGGAGCAACGCCGCGUGAGUGAUGACGGCCGUCGGGUUGUAAAGCUCUGUUAAUCGGGACGAAAGGCCUUCUUGCGAAUAGGGAGAAGGAUUGACGGUACCGGAAUAGAAAGCCACGGCUAACUACGUG
rnacentral:rRNA from 1 species